GCCGAAGUGGUGGAAUUGGUAGACACGCUGUCUUGAGGGGGCAGUGGCCGCAAGGCCGUGGGGGUUCGAGUCCCCCCUUCGGCA
rnacentral:tRNA from 1 species